AUCGUUCAUUCUCGCAACGAGAACGGAAGUAAGAAACCUGAAAACCUCUCACUUUCUGUGAGGCUAGUUAACCGAAAGUUUCCGAAGGAACGCAUG
rnacentral:ncRNA from 10 species